GAUGAACGCUGGCGGCGUGCCUAAUACAUGCUAGUCGAGCGAACAGACGAGGAGCUUGCUCCUCUGACGUUAGCGGCGGACGGGUGAGUAACACGUGGAUAACCUACCUAUAAGACUGGGAUAACUUCGGGAAACUGGAGCUAAUACCGGAUAAUAUAUUGAACCGCAUGGUUCAAUAGUGAAAGACGGUUUUGCUGUCACUUAUAGAUGGAUCCGCGCCGCAUUAGCUAGUUGGUAAGGUAACGGCUUACCAAGGCAACGAUGCGUAGCCGACCUGAGAGGGUGAUCGGCCACACUGGAACUGAGACACGGUCCAGACUCCUACGGGAGGCAGCAGUAGGGAAUCUUCCGCAAUGGGCGAAAGCUUGACGGAGCAACGCCGCGUGAGUGAUGAAGGUCUUCGGAUCGUAAAACUCUGUUAUUAGGGAAGAACAAAUGUGUAAGUAACUAUGCACGUCUUGACGGUACCUAAUCAGAAAGCCACGGCUAACUACGUG
rnacentral:rRNA from 1 species